rnacentral:rRNA from 1 species
CCUACGGGUGGCAGCAGUGAGGAAUAUUGGUCAAUGGGCGCGAGCCUGAACCAGCCAAGUAGCGUGAAGGAUGACUGCCCUACGGGUUGUAAACUUCUUUUAUAAAGGAAUAAAGUGAGGCACGUGUGCCUUUUUGUAUGUACUUUAUGAAUAAGGAUCGGCUAACUCCGUGCCAGCAGCCGCGGUAAUACGGAGGAUCCGAGCGUUAUCCGGAUUUAUUGGGUUUAAAGGGAGCGUAGGUGGGUUGUUAAGUCGGUGGUGAAAGUUUGCGGCUCAACCGUAAAAUUGCAUUGAUACUGGCAGGCUUGAGUACGGUGGAGGUAGGCGGAAUUCGUGGUGUAGCGGUGAAAUGCUGAGAUAUCACGAAGAACUCCGAUUGCGAAGGCAGCCUACUAAACUGCCACUGACGUUGAUGCUCGAAAGUGUGGGUAUCAAACAGGAUUAGAUACCCCUGUAGUC